rnacentral:rRNA from 1 species
CCUACGGGGGGCAGCAGUAGGGAAUAUUGCACAAUGGGCGAAAGCCUGAUGCAGCAACGCCGCGUGAGCGAUGAAGGCCUUCGGGUUGUAAAGUUCUGUCCUCAGGGAAGAUAAUGACGGUAUUUGACGAAUAAGCCCCGGCUAACUACGUGCCAGCAGCCGCGGUAAUACGGAGGGUGCUAGCGGUACUCGGAAUUACUGGGCGUAAAGAGCGCGUAGGUGGGUUAGUAAGUCAGACGUGAAAUCCUAAGGCUUAAACCUAGUAAUGCAUUUGAAACUGGUAACCUAGAGUGUGGGAGAGGUAGGUGGAAUUCCUGGUGUAGGGGUGAAAUGCGUAGAGAUUAGGAGGAAUACUCGUUGCGAAGGCGGCCCUCUGGACUGUAACUGACACUGAGGCGCGAAAGCGUGGGGAGCAAACAGGAUUAGAUACCCCGGUAGUC